GACUCUGAAAAUGAAUCAGUCUGCAGUGAAACUUUCAUCCAUGUAUACGGCAUCAGCAGAACACGCCUGACUCUCCUCCUCCAGUCAUACAAGAAGAAUGGUCUGAUUCCUCCCAUCAAAAAGAGAGCUAGCUAAUGCAAUAGUAUUACCAGGACGCCACCCAGGACACAAACACAAAUCUGUUGCCAUCCCUUGUGACAAAAGCAGCAAUGUGGCUACAAGGAUUUGAUGACAACAGUUGAGGAACGAGUAGUCGGGCUGCCUUCCAUCAGGAAUCUGUGGAGAAAAUUGCUGCCCCACAUCUCAAGCACUAAGCCCAGGACAGACCUGUGUAGCCCUAUUUGGUAAAAGAACAAGUCCAUAUUAUGGCGAGAACAGCUCAAAUAAGCAAAGAGAAACGACAGUCCAUCAUUACUUUAAGACA